GUCUCGAAAGGUGAAAUGUUUUAACUGAAUGGUUAAUUUAAAUUAAUUAUGAAAAUUGUUAAAAUUAAAUAAAUAAAAGUAAUUAUUGCCCAGUUACAAACACUACCAGGGGAUAAUCCAUAAUUACCCCCAACUUUAGCCUGGUAAACUUGUUGUCUCCUUGUGAAAUAUAAAACAUAUUAAAAAUGAUUUCCUGCUUAAGUCUUUUAUUGAUAUAAAGUCAAAACCUUCUUGCUUUUCACUAGACAACCAUGUCCUGUCAGGUUUAAUUCUUAUAUAUGUAGAUGAAAAAUAAAAGUGUCCCAAAACAUUAACAUGGCAGCAAUUGCUUUUACAGCCUUUAAGGCUUUGAUUUUUUUACAGAAGAGUGUCCACCAUGCACUUGCACUGCACUAUAAUAAUAGUAGAAUAGAAUUAUCAUAUAUACAAAUAGAUGAAAAUGAUAUUUAUCGGUCGUCCAACUGUCUAUAUCAAUCUGCUCAGCUCUUAAUAAAACUCCAUAUCACGGCUUUGUGACGUCAAAUACGUUGACCUGGCCUUAAUAACUUUGACCCGGACAUAUCAGCGACGUCAUAAUGUUUGAACCGACGUUGAUAAGUUUGACCCGAACUUAUCAAGUCAACUUCCGGUUGCUGGUGAAACUAAGACAAUACUUCCAAAAGACGCAAAUGCAGCCCGAUAAAUCGAUUAUCAGGUUAUCGGCAUAUUAAUAUUGUAAAAUAUCAGCUGCUCGACAUAAUAUGAAGGCUUUUUGAUCUCGUUCGCUGCGCUUACUCGACAAAAAGCUUAAUAUUAUGUCUCGCAGCUGAUAUUUUACGAUAUCAACAUGCAGACAACCUGAUAAUCGGUACAUACAUGCAAUCGUAAUAUUAAUAAUAUAUAUAACAACAAACCAGUGUAUUCUCUACGACUAUUAUUAUACAAGUAUAAUAGUCCAAGGUAUACUGAUUUCUUGCACUACAAUAUAAUAGUUAUUACGGUGAGGUUGAAUUUCCUGUCAUUUAUUCAUCAUCCAAGCACGAACUUGUAUCAGAAAAAAAUAUCUCUGUAAAUUAACCCAAGUUUCAGGUAUAGAGAUGUGAUCUGUUUCUGUGACAUGUGCUUUUGACCAUCCACAAGAACCUGCGGUCAUCCGAUGUUCAGUACUUCAGUACUUUGAUUUAAAAUAAUUU
rnacentral:lncRNA from 1 species